UACGUAGGUGGCAAGCGUUGUCCGGAUUUACUGGGCGUAAAGAGCGCGCAGGCGGUCGAUCAAGUCGCGUGUGAAAGCCCCCGGCUCAACUGGGGAGGGUCACGCGAUACUGAUCGACUCGAAGGCAGGAGAGGGUAGUGGAAUUCCCGGUGUAGUGGUGAAAUGCGUAGAUAUCGGGAGGAACACCAGUGGCGAAGGCGACUACCUGGCCUGUUCUUGACGCUGAGGCGGCGAAAGCUAGGGGAGCAAACGGG
rnacentral:rRNA from 1 species